UAGGGAAUCUUCCACAAUGGACGCAAGUCUGAUGGAGCAACGCCGCGUGAGUGAAGAAGGGUUUCGGCUCGUAAAGCUCUGUUGUUAAAGAAGAACGUGGGUAAGAGUAACUGUUUACCCAGUGACGGUAUUUAACCAGAAAGCCACGGCUAACUAUGUGCCAG
rnacentral:rRNA from 1 species